rnacentral:rRNA from 1 species
UACGUAGGUGGCAAGCGUUGUCCGGAUUUACUGGGUGUAAAGGGCGUGUAGCCGGGCUGACAAGUCAGAUGUGAAAUCCGGGGGCUCAACCCCCGAACUGCAUUUGAAACUGUUGGUCUUGAGUAUCGGAGAGGCAGGCGGAAUUCCUGGUGUAGCGGUGAAAUGCGUAGAUAUUAGGAGGAACACCAGUGGCGAAGGCGGCCUGCUGGACGACAACUGACGGUGAGGCGCGAAAGCGUGGGGAGCAAACAGG